GUGCAUAUUUCUGAGUGAACAAUGUUGGAAAGUUCAGAUUUCUAACAUCGCUCAGGGUCUUGACUCUCUCCAUCUGUGUGCUGAAAGGGUAAAGCAGCUCGAAGAGAAUCAGUCCCAAAGAAAAUAUAUCCACUUUGUGAGAAUAGGUGUUCCCACAGAUCUGUUCUGGACUCAUGUAGAGUUUGGUCCCUACUUGUCCUGUGUGUCUGGCGUAAGCUGGCAUUGGGGUAAGUACCAAUUCCUCCUCCUCAUCUUGGUCCAUAGCAGUUACCAGUCCAAAAUCCCCAACCUUUACUACAUCAUCCAUUGUGAAAAAUAUAUUAGAAGGCUGAGAAAA
rnacentral:lncRNA from 1 species